CCUACGGGAGGCUGCAGUGGGGAAUAUUGGACAAUGGGCGAAAGCCUGAUCCAGCAAUACCGCGUGUGUGAAGAAGGCCUGCGGGUUGUAAAGCACUUUCAAUUGGGAGGAAUACCUAUCCCUUAAUACGGGGUAGACUGACAUUACCUUUAGAAGAAGCACCGGCUAACUCCGUGCCAGCAGCCGCGGUAAUACGGAGGGUGCGAGCGUUAAUCGGAAUUACUGGGCGUAAAGCGUGCGUAGGUGGUUUGUUAAGUCAGAUGUGAAAGCCCUGGGCUCAACCUGGGAACGGCAUUUGAAACUGGCAGACUAGAGUUUAAGAGAGGGGAGUGGAAUUUCAGGUGUAGCGGUGAAAUGCGUAGAGAUCUGAAGGAACACCAGUGGCGAAGGCGGCUCUCUGGACCAACACUGACGCUGAGGCACGAAAGCGUGGGUAGCAAACAGGAUUAGAUACCCCAGUAGU
rnacentral:rRNA from 1 species